ensembl:lncRNA
CUUUGUAUAUCUAUGGUUGGCACGUCCAGUAGCAUCUCUGGCUGCUGUUGACCUUGUUUUUGGAGUAAAAUACGGUGGAAGCUGAAUUAGUGAGGAUGACUCCUGCUCCUGUCAUCUCUAAGCUCCUCACACAUCUUUACCUGCACAUGAGGAAAAUCACUCCUGUAGAAUGCAGUGGUUCAUCAGAACCUCUGGGGAUGUCCUGUGGAUUCUGUGGAUCCUGUGGGUUGCAGGGUGGGUCCUACCUAGACCAGGCUGAUCCUGGACCAUCCCACAGAUGCUCAAUCAGAUCUGGAUGUGGGGAGUGUGGAACCCAGAUGUUCAGAGGGAGAUGAUGCCACAUCUGGUCCAGCUGAUGGAAGGUCUUGAAGUUCUCUGACUGGCCUCGACUGAAGAUGGUCGUCUCACUGGAUUUAAGGUUCAGAUGCUCAGUAACAAACUCCACCAAUGUGCCAACAGGGAAGCUUUAGGUUUAUUAAAUGUUGCUAUGAAGGUAUCGCUGUUUUUCUUUGUGAAUGCAAUGUGCUUCCAACUGAAACUUGAAUUAGAACUUAGAAGUAAAUCCUUCCAUCUGAAAGGAUUUAGUUGCAUUAAUAACCUCAUAACAUUCUAGUUUUUAUUCCAGUCUUGGUUGGAAAUAGAAUCUCUGUAUUGAUUCAGGUAAAAACUGAACUUCACAGCAUGUUGGAGCAAAACAACCAGAUGAAAACUGUGAUGGUGUUGGAUUGUCAGACCGUAAUGUUGCAGCUCAAAGCAGCUUUUCUAUCUCAGUUCAUUCUGACAUUCAGCUAUGAAUCAACACAGCAGAUGGUGAUCCAUGCUGUGGAAGUCUCACAUCUCCUGAUUUAAUGGAGCUGCUUUGCACUUUUUACACUGUUUAUUCACCAACACUUUAUUUAAUAAAAGUCCCAUCUAGUUUUCAUGAGGA